GUUAGGGCACGACACCGGAGAGGGAGCCUGAGAAACGGCUACCACAUCCAAGGAUGGCAGCAGGCGCGCAAAUUACCCAAUCCCGACACGGGGAGGUAGUGACAAUAAAUAACAAUACGGGGUUCUUAAGGAUCUCGUAAUUGGAAUGAGUACAAUUUAAAUCUCUUAACGAGGAACAAUUGGAGGGCAAGUCUGGUGCCAGCAGCCGCGGUAAUUCCAGCUCCAAUAGCGUAUAUUAAAGUUGCUGCAGUUAAAAAGCUCGUAGUUGAAUUUCGGGACCAAUAUGUCGGUCGUGCCUCGGUACGUACUGGCAUCGUUGGUUUCUCCCUUCUGACGAACCAUGAUGUCAUUUACUUGGUGUCGUGGGGAAUCAGGACUGUUACUUUGAAAAAAUUAGAGUGUUUAAAGCAGGCUCACGCUUGAAUACAUUAGCAUGGAAUAAUGAAAUAGGACGUUUGAUUCUAUUUUGUUGGUUUCUAGGAUCGACGUAAUGAUUAAUAGGGAUAGUUGGGGGCAUUAGUAUUCAAUUGUCAGAGGUGAAAUCCUUGGAUUUAUUGAAGACUAACUACUGCGAAAGCAUUUGCCAAGGAUGUUUUCAUUAAUCAAGAACGAAAGUUAGGGGAUCGAAGACGAUCAGAUACCGACGUAGUCUUAACCAUAAACUAUGCCGACUAGGGAUCGGAUGAUGUUAAUUUUUUAAUGACUCAUUCGGCGCCUUACGGGAAA
rnacentral:rRNA from 1 species